rnacentral:misc_RNA from 1 species
AUGAGUACUGUUUUCAAAACAUUGGCUAAAUUGUUACAAUUGUACAUUCUCAGCCUUGUUUACCAUAUAAACAGAAGGGGAAAAGAGAGUUUUAUCCAAGUUCAGAGGAAAUAUUUGAUGAACUGAUGCACAUAUUCAUAAACUUUGUCCAAGAAAUAUAAAAUUCAUUACUAGCAGGAAGAACUAAUAAAAGCUUUCAAAAUAGUCUUCAAUCUAAACCUGUUGACUGAAAGUGCACAGACAGAUUAAGCAAAGCAUGCUAGUGGAUAGAAUUCAUGCGGAUCUUAUCAUUGAAUUUCAACAUCUCUAUCAGUAUCUACCAGUUGAGCCUCUUGAUCACUCUUGCCAUUUCUAUUCUUGAAAGAUUUCUCGCUAAACAUACGAACAAACAUGCUUUUUGACCUGGGAGUUCUUCCAGCAUCUUCUGAUUUUCUACUAUCACCAUUCUUCUUGGCCAGUUCUUCUAAGAUAACCUUGAUGCUACUCUCAAAGCGGCGCUUGAAUGUUGGAAAUCUUGAUAUAGAUUUGGUGAUGCCUCGUAGCCUUCGAGCUAACGCCUCAAACUCAGCUCGCCUCAGUUCAGAUUCAGGUGGUGAUCCAAUAUUUAGGUCCCUCAACCUCUCAGGAUCACCACUCAACAAAACCAAUUUGCCAAGGUACUCCUCGUCGCUGUCAGAAAGAUUUCCGGCUUUGAUCUGGUCUUUGAUGAUCAAGAGUGGAUUGAAAAACCACUCCGCGAAGGUAUCUCUAGGCCUGUUUGUGCUAGUUAUUUCAGUGGUGUCAUCAUUUAACAAAAUACCAGCACUGUUGGCUUUAGCAGAAUGUAUAAGGGUCUGAAGGAUGCAAUAGGCAGGCAAACCAAUGCUAAUGACUUGACCACUGUCUUUACUAGAUUUGGCAUCUUCAAUGUCUUUUUGUGUAAUUACUCCUUGAGAUACCAUGAUUUCGCCAUGACGUUGACAGCCCUUGAAUAAGCCAUCAAGAAGCUCGAGGGGCUUCAACUCGAGUAUGGGGACAUUGAUGGCGUUUGUACUAGAUGGUGGAUUUCUGAAAGAAUCAGGCCUUGAUAAAGAAUCUGCACGGGAGUUGGUACUUGAUGCAGUCUUCUUUCUGUACUGAGGCCUAGGAAAGCAGGACCCUUCUGGCAUGUCUAGCACAUCAUUGCUAUAUUCAUCAUAUAUGGACAAGGAAGCAACGAUAUAGCAAAGCCCUGCCCAAAGAGAACACUCCUGAUAUACAACUACUCCUGCAUAAGCGCCUAGAGGGACACUUGCUAAUAUUGAUCCAAAGAAUGCAGCAAUAACAGCCAAUGGCCAGAGUAAGAUAGCAAGGCCAGCAAAUGGUACACAGAUUGACUCUAGAAAAGGCCCUUCUCGGCCUAUACAAUCUUGAAAUAAACGACGCCACCCCUUUACAAGCAUGUAAGGGAAUUUGCAAGCAGCAAUUAGCAUGAUCAUUGGCAUAUCAACCACGAGUCCUAGUUCCACAGCUAAUAGCGCCAAAGGAAUAUAAAGCACCCUGAUCUCGUAGCAUUUUCCAUCAGGAGGUUCUUGAAGUCGGAAAUCAUCCAUGAUUGAGAAAUAGGAAUGGUAUAAGACAUCCUUCAAAUCCCUAACAAUGGUCAAGCUUCCUUUCACUGUGUCCCAGGUCCCAUCAUAUAUACUGUGAUAGAAGGCAUUAGUCGCCCUUCCAUCCACUGCUUGGAAAGUGGCAAACACUGGUGAAAGGAAGCCAUAAGCAGCCCCGCCAAUAAUGCUAGUUGCAAUUCCAAUGAAGGGCCAUAAAUAUAAAAUAACAAGGGCACAUAUGCCUACUAAAAAUUUUAAAGCUGGACCUAGUUGCUUUGUGCUCCAUAUACAGUAAAAUGUAUAGAACAGGUGCACUGGCCAAAGACCCAAAAUAAGGGAACAGUUUCCGACAGUGAGUAUAAUAAGGACGAUAGGGAACACAAUGACACCUUUCAAGACACCCAAAAUAAGCAGGCUAAUGAAGUAAGGUAAGAAACGAAUGAAGUUCCACACCGAAUCAAAAACCCCCCUUGGAGGUUCCAUUCUUAUGCUUCGCUAAAUCAAGAACCACUCGAUCUUUACACAAUCACUAACAAGGUACAACCCCUUUUCACAAAUCAAUUAAUCUUGGAAAAUGCAACCAAAAAAUCUCGGAUUUUGCUGAAAAGAACUGAGUCUUUCCGUAGUCAGUACGUAAAAUGGAAACAUAGAUGAAGAUGUGGAUGUGGG